rnacentral:rRNA from 1 species
GACGAACGCUGGCGGCGUGCUUAACACAUGCAAGUCGAACGGAAAGGCCCUGCUUUUGUGGGGUGCUCGAGUGGCGAACGGGUGAGUAACACGUGAGUAACCUGCCCUUGACUUUGGGAUAACUUCAGGAAACUGGGGCUAAUACCGGAUAGGAGCUCCUGCUGCAUGGUGGGGGUUGGAAAGUUUCGGCGGUUGGGGAUGGACUCGCGGCUUAUCAGCUUGUUGGUGGGGUAGUGGCUUACCAAGGCUUUGACGGGUAGCCGGCCUGAGAGGGUGACCGGGCACCAUGGGACUGAGGUAGGGACCAGACUCCUACGGGAGGCAGCAGUGGGGAAUAUUGCACAAUGGGCGGAAGCCUGAUGCAGCAACGCCGCGUGCGGGAUGACGGCCUUCGGGUUGUAAACCGCUUUCGCCUGUGACGAAGCGUGAGUGACGGUAAUGGGUAAAGAAGCACCGGCUAACUACGUG